AUCAACUUUCGAUGGUAGGAUAGAGGCCUACCAUGGUGGUAACGGGUAACGGGGUGUUAGGGCACGACACCGGAGAGGGAGCCUGAGAAACGGCUACCACAUCCAAGGAUGGCAGCAGGCGCGCAAAUUACCCAAUCCCGACACGGGGAGGUAGUGACAAUAAAUAACAAUACGGGGCUCUUUAGGGUCUCGUAAUUGGAAUGAGUACAAUUUAAAUCUCUUAACGAGGAACAAUUGGAGGGCAAGUCUGGUGCCAGCAGCCGCGGUAAUUCCAGCUCCAAUAGCGUAUAUUAAAGUUGUUGCAGUUAAAAAGCUCGUAGUUGAAUUUCGGGAUCAGCAGGUUGGUCGUGCCUCUGGUAUGCACUGGUUUCGCUGAUUCCUCCUUUCUGAAGAACUGUAAUGUCAUUAAUUUGGUGUUGCAGGGAAACAGGACUGUUACUUUGAAAAAAUUAGAGUGUUUAAAGCAGGCUAAGGCUUGAAUACAUUAGCAUGGAAUAAUGAAAUAGGACGUUUGAUCCUAUUUUGUUGGUUUCUAGGAUUGACGUAAUGAUUAAUAGGGAUAGUUGGGGGCAUUAGUAUUCAAUUGUCAGAGGUGAAAUUCUUGGAUUUAUUGAAGACUAACUACUGCGAAAGCAUUUGCCAAGGAUGUUUUCAUUAAUCAAGAACGAAAGUUAGGGGAUCGAAGACGAUCAGAUACCGUCGUAGUCUUAACCAUAAACUAUGCCGACUAGGGAUCGGAUGAUGUUAAUUUUUUAAUGACUCAUUCGGCGCCUUACGGGAAACCAAAGUGUUUGGGUUC
rnacentral:rRNA from 1 species